CAGCGCGAGGCCUAUGCUCGCCCCGGGCCUGGAGCGGCCGCUGGGUCCCCGGGGGCUUCUCCCUCCGGCUGCAGUCGGCGAGAGUCCCGCCGCGAGCACCCACCUGAGUCCACGGCCUCGCAUCGCGGGCUCGCACGGGUGCUCCGGCCGGCCGCUCGCCCGGCGCUGCUCCUGGCCGCGUUCAGCCUCCCUUUUAAAGAGCACGGCCCCCCACAGUCCCCAGGGUGGGGAAGGCCUCGGCCCUGCCGGGGACAUUUGGGGAAAGGGGCAGGGCCAGAAAGUGUUUUGAGUUCCUCCAGGUGUCUGCGAUUCCAUUGGCAGGCAGGAAAAUUCUGGGUAGGGCGUGCAUUCUGUUUGGUAUUUGUCCAGAGUUGGGAGGUGGGGGUGGACACCCUAGAAGCGCUUGACUACCUGCUGUUCUACACAGACAACGUGCCCCCUCCCAGGAAGUCCCGAUUGUUUGGGACAAUUAAAACACGCGCCCGUUUCUGUCUUUGAAAGAAGCACUCUUAAGUGUUUUCAGAAUGUUGGAGUCUGAAUUUAUAAACCAGUCAACCUGGCAGGGCGCAGUGACCCGCUCCUUAAAUCCCAGCACUGAGGAGGCAGAGGCAGUGCUGAAGGAGGAUUUCUGGAAGGAAGCUGUGUCUGCAGAGACUGGCUGACUAUAGCUGCUGUACUAUGAAAAGCUCAGAAUGCUGCAGGGCCAGAGGCGCAUCAACUGAUCGUGGACGGCCUCUAGGACCUCACUAUGUCAUUCAGGUUGAACACAAACUCGGCAUCCUGCAUAGAAGAGCAAGGUUUAAAGGGUCAAUCAUCCCGGUCCUUGGCAGGACUCUCCAGCUCAGCAGUGCUUUGAGCUAUAUCAUAACUGUGAUAAGACAAGGCUUGGCCACACAAGUUAGAAGUAAAUGAAAAUUCUGAAGAAUUGCAUGGGAUGAAAGGAGGAUUUAGAAGAAGAUCCCAAACCUUCUUAAACCUCAGCAAGUGGAGCACCAAGAGGACUAUGGGACUUCAGGAGUUAGCAUCUACCGGGAGGACGUUAGGUCGUUGGGCAUGUACCCAUGGAGGGCUGACCAGCCCUUCCUGCCAUGCCCUCCGCUCACCGUUCUCUCCCCUUCUCUCCUUUCUGGCUGAAUAUGUGACACUUGUUCGCCUCGUGUGUGCUCCUGUCCUAGUUAGGGUUUCUAUUGCUCUGAAGAGACACCAUGGCCACAGCAACUUUUACAAAAGAAAACAGGUCACUGAUGUGGCGGCUCAUAGUUCAGAGGUUCAGUCCGUCAUCCUCAUGGCAGGAAGCAAGGUGACUGCAGUCAGACCUGAUACAGUCUGUCUUGAUCAGAAGGCAACAGGAAGUGGACUGGGGCACUGAGCAAAGCUUAAGCAAAAGAGACCUCAAAGCCCGCCCCCACAGUGACGCACUUCCUCCAACAAGACCACACCCUGUGAGCUUAUGGGGGCCAAUUACGUUCAUACCACCCCAACUGUCUCCCCCAAAGCCCAAACCAGUGAUGCUGCCUGAUAUUAGACUUGCACCUCGAGACAAACACGAGUGGAAACAGACUUCGCAAACGCAGCCCUGUGCGUGCUGUGCAAGGACCCCACCAGCUGGGCUACACCGUCAGGUCAGCUCUUAUUUAUGGUUUUCUUUGUUCUUAAGAUUUAACAUAUUUUUCUGAUGAUGAGAUUACCGAAAUUUAAAUUUUUUUUGAUGAGCACAGUAUUCAUAUACUUUCUUUCUUUAUCUUUUGUUUUCUUUGUUUUUUUGUUUUGUUUUCUUUUGCCUUUUGGUUU